GCCAGGUGAGGUGGCACACACCUGUAAUUCCAGCAGCUUGGGAGGCUGAGGCAGGAGGAUUGCAAGUUCAAAGCCAUCCUCAGCAAAAGCAAGACCCUAAGCAACUCAGUGAGACUCUGUCUCUA
rnacentral:sRNA from 1 species